CAGUAUCUCUUUCUGGAGGCUGCUCUUUUGUGCAGUUCUGGUGGCAAGCCUCAGCAUUUUUCACCUUGAACGAAAGCCUCUGAGUUUGCGUGUGUCAAAUACGAUUGUGCACCAAGUUCCUGAGAACAGGUGUUCUGCUGCUUUUGAAAAAGAAAAUAAAUAAAGAACUGGAGGAGAAAAAAGGGACAACAGGCGACACAGAAGAUAAUUUAGAUCAUUGUGUGAACUUUCACCAGAUGAGUGACUUAAACCUGUCAUCAGCAACUGUAAUGCCCGGAGAACCAACUGUGUGAAGGGACUGCAGUGAGAAUUCAAGAGCGUCCUGUGGUCCUUCAGAUUUGUCAUUGUGAGCUGUGAAUGAGCAUUGAUUCCUUGGGGAAAGAUGUGUGAGGGAAGAGCUAAAACCAGCAACACUGCUGAAGAAAUGGCUGUAAGAGAUAUUACAGACAUCUGCAGAAAGCUAAGAGAAAUCUGAGUAUCCUGUGGAGAGCAACUUUCUGACUGAGUGGUACUUACUUGCUGCGCAGCCCUCCUGCUCUGAACCAUACAGACAGAAACAACGGGGUUGGAGCUGUCCUCCUGUGAAAUGCCUGGCUGGUGUGUGUGACAGGCCUUCAAAGGGCUGCCUCCAUGGUAAGAAAACCAUCAAGUAAUGAUUGUCUUUCCUCUGGGGAGAAGCUGUGCCUGUUCCAUCUACCUUAUGUCCACGUUCACGUAAUCUUUAGGAAGGUAAUACACUUGAGUCCUUCAUUUGGCUCCCAUGUUGGAUUUGAAUAAGCCUUUGGAUUGGGAGAGAUGUGAUGAGAAGGACCAGCAGAUAGACAG